rnacentral:rRNA from 1 species
ACGUAGGGUGCGAGCGUUGUCCGGAAUUAUUGGGCGUAAAGGGCUCGUAGGCGGUUUGUCGCGUCGGGAGUGAAAACACUGGGCUUAACUCAGUGCUUGCUUCCGAUACGGGCAGACUAGAGGUAUGCAGGGGAGAACGGAAUUCCUGGUGUAGCGGUGAAAUGCGCAGAUAUCAGGAGGAACACCGGUGGCGAAGGCGGUUCUCUGGGCAUUACCUGACGCUGAGGAGCGAAAGUGUGGGGAGCGAACCGGA